UAGGGAAUAUUGGACAAUGGGCGCAAGCCUGAUCCAGCCAUGCCGCGUGAGUGAAGAAGGCCCUCGGGUUGUAAAGCUCUUUUGUCCGGAAAGAAAAGCUUUGGGUUAAUACCCCGAAGUCCUGCCGGUACCGGAAGAAUAAGCACCGGCUAACUUCGUGCCAGCAGCCGCGGUAAUACGAAGGGUGCAAGCGUUACUCGGAAUUACUGGGCGUAAAGCGUGCGUAGGUGGUUCGUUAAGUCUGAUGUGAAAGCCCUGGGCUCAACCUGGGAAUGGCAUUGGAUAAUGGCGGGCUAGAGUGCGGUGGAGGGGAGUGGAAUACCCGGUGUGGCAGUGAAAGGCGUAGAGAUCGGGAGGAACAUCUGUGGCGAGGGCGACUGCCUGGACCAGCACUGACACUGAGGCACGAAAGCGUGGGGAGCAAACAGG
rnacentral:rRNA from 1 species